rfam:Sphingobacterium sp. CZ-TAM QB.A_1, whole genome shotgun sequence.
GUAGAGUAUUCAGAAUUGCAUGAUGCAAUACCAACCGAGUGUAGACACCGCGGUGGUAAAUUAAUACGGGUUUCGACCAAAAUAAACGUUAAAC